CUGCAACUCGCCUGCAUGAAGCCGGAAUCGCUAGUAAUCGUAGAUCAGCCAUGCUACGGUGAAUACGUUCCGGGCCUUGUACACACCGCCCGUCACACCACGAGAGUUUGUAACACCCAAAGCCGGUUUGGUAACCUUCGGGAGCUAGCCGUCUAAGGUGGGAUAGAUAAUUGGGGUGAAGUCGUAACAAGGUAGCCGUAUCGGAAGGUGCGGCUGGAUCACCUCCUUUCUAAGGAA
rnacentral:rRNA from 1 species